UAAUACCUGGUACUCCGGAAGCGGCGCAUGCCGCAUCCGGGAAAGCUCUCGCGGCGGGGGAUGGGGUCGCGGCCCAUCACUUAGACGGCGGGGCAGAGGCCCACCGUGCCGACGACGGGUAGCCGGGUUGAGAGACCGACCGGCCACAUUGGGACUGAGAUACGGCCCAGACUCCUACGGGAGGCAGCAGUGGGGAAUUUUGCGCAAUGGGGGCAACCCUGACGCAGCAACGCCGCGUGCGGGACGAAGGCGUCCGCGUCGUAAACCGCUUUCAGCGGGGAACACCUAAACGAGGGUACCCGCAGAAGAAGCCCCGGCUAAAUACGUGCCAGCAGCCGCGGUAAUACGUAUGGGGCGAGCGUUAUCCGGAUUCAUUGGGCGUAAAGCGCGCGUAGGCGGAGCGCUAAGCGGGACCUCUAACCCGAGGGCUCAACCCCCGGCCGGGUCCCGAACUGGCGCUCUCGAGUGCGGUAGGGGAGAGCGGAAUUCCCGGUGUAGCGGUGGAAUGCGCAGAUAUCGGGAAGAACACCGACGGCGAAGGCAGCUCUCUGGGCCGAAACUGACGCUGAGGCGCGAAAGCUGGGGGAGCGAACAGGAUUAGAUACCCUGGUAGUCCCAGCCGUAAACGA
rnacentral:rRNA from 1 species